GUCAACUGUACCGAUGUCGACGAAUGUGCAGAUGGCACAGACAACUGCCACGCCCAGGAAACCUGUACCAACACGGACGGCUCUUUUACAUGUGAUUGCACUGAAGGGUACAGUGGAAAUGGAGUCAACUGUACUGAUGUCGACGAAUGUG